rnacentral:piRNA from 1 species
UUUACUGUUCCAGCAAAAAAU